rnacentral:rRNA from 1 species
UACAGAGGUCUCAAGCGUUGUUCGGAUUCAUUGGGCGUAAAGGGUGCGUAGGUGGCGCCGUAAGUCAGGUGUGAAAUUUCGGAGCUUAACUCCGAAACUGCAUUCGAUACUGCGGUGCUUGAGGACUGGAGAGGAGACUGGAAUUCAUGGUGUAGCAGUGAAAUGCGUAGAGAUCAUGAGGAAGACCAGUGGCGAAGGCGGGUCUCUGGACAGUACCUGACGCUGAGGAGCGAAAGCGUGGGGAGCGAACAGG